rnacentral:rRNA from 1 species
UACGUAGGGGGCUAGCGUUGUCCGGAAUCAUUGGGCGUAAAGAGCGUGUAGGCGGUCCGGUAAGUCCGCUGUGAAAGUCGGGGGCUCAACCCUCGAAUGCCGGUGGAUACUGUCGGGCUAGAGUGCGGAAGAGGCGAGUGGAAUUCCUGGUGUAGCGGUGAAAUGCGUAGAGAUCAGGAAGAACACCGGUGGCGAAAGCGCUCUGCUAGGCCGCAACUGACACUCAUGGACGAAAGCUAGGGGAGCGAAUGGG